rnacentral:tRNA from 1 species
GCUGCAGUAGCUCAGCGCCAGAGCGCCGGCCUUGUAAGCCGGACGUCGGAGGCUCAAACCCCCCCUGCCGCC